UACGUAGGGUGCGAGCGUUAAUCGGAAUUACUGGGCGUAAAGCGUGCGUAGGUGGUGAGUUAAGUCUGUCGUGAAAGCCCCGGGCUCAACCUGGGAAUGGCGAUGGAUACUGGCUCGCUAGAGUGCGGUAGAGGAGAGUGGAAUUCCCGGUGUAGCAGUGAAAUGCGUAGAGAUCGGGAAGAACAUCAGUUGCGAAGGCGGCUCUCUGGACCAGCACUGACACUGAGGCACGAAAGCGUGGGGAGCAAACAGG
rnacentral:rRNA from 1 species